rnacentral:rRNA from 1 species
CAGUCGCCGCGGUAAUACGUAGGGUGCGAGCGUUAAUCGGAAUUACUGGGCGUAAAGCGUGCGCAGGCGGUGAUGUAAGACAGUUGUGAGAUCCCCGGGCUCAACCUGGGAACUGCAUCUGUGACUGCAUCGCUGGAGUGCGGCAGAGGGGGAUGGAAUUCCGCGUGUAGCAGUGAAAUGCGUAGAUAUGCGGAGGAACACCGAUGGCGAAGGCAAUCCCCUGGGCCUGCACUGACGCUCAUGCACGAAAGCGUGGGGAGCAAACAGGAUUAGAGACCCACGUAGUCCCUGUCUCUUAUAC